GUGGGCGUAGUUCAGAUGGUCAGAGCGCCAGGUUGUGGCCCUGGAGGUCGUGGGUUCAAAUCCCACCGCUCACCCCA
rnacentral:tRNA from 1 species